rnacentral:rRNA from 1 species
CGCGUAGGCGGUUUUGUCGGUCAGAUGUGAAAGCCCAGGGCUCAACCCUGGACGUGCAUUUGAAACAGCAAGACUUGAGUACGGGAGAGGAAAGCGGAAGUUCCUGGUGUAGAGGUGAAAUUCGUAGAUAUCAGGAGGAACACCGAUGGCGAAGGCAGCUUUCUGGACCGAUACUGACGCUGAGGCGCGAAGGCGUGGGUAGCGAACAG